CCUACGGGAGGCAGCAGUGAGGAAUAUUGGUCAAUGGCCGAGAGGCUGAACCAGCGAAGUCGCGUGAGGGAAGACGGCCCUACGGGUUGUAAACCUCUUUUGUCGGGGAGCAAAGAGAGUCAGGUGUGACCCAUUGAGAGUAACCGAAGAAAAAGCAUCGGCUAACUCCGUGCCAGCAGCCGCGGUAGUACGGAGGAUGCGAGCGUUAUCCGGAUUUAGUGGGUUUAAAGGGAGCGUAGAUGGGUUGGUAAGUCAGUUGUGAAAGUUUGCGGCUCAACCGUAAAAUUGCAAUUGAUACUGGCAGCCUUGAGUACAGUUGAGGUAGGCGGAAUUCGUGGUGUAGCGGUGAAAUGCUUAGAUAUCACGAAGAACUCCGAUUGCGAAGGCAGCUUACUAAACUGCCACUGACAUUGAUGCUCGAAAGUGUGGGUAUCAAACAGGAUUAGAUACCCGGGUAGUC
rnacentral:rRNA from 1 species